rnacentral:rRNA from 1 species
UACGGAGGGUCCAAGCGUUAUCCGGAAUCAUUGGGUUUAAAGGGUCCGUAGGCGGUCUUGUAAGUCAGUGGUGAAAGCCCAUCGCUCAACGGUGGAAUGGCCAUUGAUACUGCAAGACUUGAAUUAUUGGGAAGCAACUAGAAUAUGUAGUGUAGCGGUGAAAUGCUUAGAUAUUACAUGGAAUACCAAUUGCGAAGGCAGGUUGCUACCAAUACAUUGACGCUGAUGGACGAAAGCGUGGGGAGCGAACAGG